rnacentral:lncRNA from 10 species
CCUCAAUUGAUCCACCCACCUCUGCCUCCCAAAGUGCUGGGAUGACAAGCAUGAGCCACCGCUCCAGGCCAACAGGAGAUUGUUUUGAAAACAUGGGUGAAGACUGUGUGCCCAAAUCCACCGGCAUUGGAGGGGUCAGUGUGGGCUUGGCACAAGCCCCCAUCAGGAACGAAUGGGAAUUUAAGAGCACCUGGAUUUUCUGAAGAGCAGGAGAAGCCCUGCCCGUCCAGCUGUUCGGGAGGUGCUCUGGAGUCUGCAGCAGGGUCUUGUGUUAUUGGGGGAGGACAUUCCACUCCUUGUCAGCUGUGAAAAAAAUGAACCCACCCACGAAAGAAGACACAGCGCAUAGUUCAUGACCCAAGGAAGAGGGGAUUUCUUUAAACAUUCGAAAACCUUCUAGAAAAAUAUGCAGGCAUUAAAACAUACAUGGAAUUAGGCCGGAUCCUCAAAGUUAAUAUUCACCACAUGUAUUUACAUUCAACUCAACGCCAGCAAAUUGAGUACUGCAUUACAGCUUGGAGAAAGAGGAGAUUGCCUCUCACACAGGCUGACAUUAAGUUGAGUUACUGUUCUGCCGUAGACUUCUCCAGGAAGUCAAAAAGACAGUUGAGAGAAUCAGGCUGAAAAUCCUCCUGGUACAUCUACCUCCUAAUUUCAAAUACAAAUUAGUGAAAUUUUAACAUUUCAGAUGUCAUACCUUGAGCAAAUUAAAAAUCAACAAAAAUAUUAAGGUUCUAUGUUACCUGCUCAAAUGUACAGAAUGUAUAAAAACUUUAAUCAAACACUCGGGUUUGCUCAGUUUUAAAUUGUGUUAGUUUAAUAGUUUCUUUUCUGCUGUUUAUAUUAAUGACAUAUUCCCAUCUAAAUAUAUUGCCA